CCUGCGGAAGGAUCAUUUCUGAAGGCUUUUUGCCAAAACCACUGUGAACAGCUUAGACUUCGGUCUUUGCAAUUGCUUGGGUGUCGAAAGGCGCCCAAUCUUUAAAACUUUUAUAUUUGUUCUGAAACAAUGAAAAUUUAAAACUUUCAACAACGGAUCUCUUGGUUCUCGUAUCGAUGAAGAACGCAGCAAAGCGCGAUAGGUAAUGCGAAUUGCAGACGUGAGUCAUUGAAUUUUUGAACGCAUAUUGCGCUAUUAGUUUGUCUAAUAGCAUGCUUGUUGGAGUGAUAAUCUUCCUCUCAACCAUUUUUGGUAUGAGGUCUUGCUCCUUUUAGGAGUUAAAAUCAUGGAAGUGCACACGUUAAUUAACUCUGUGCAGUUAUACACUUUUCAUCCUCCAAUCAAGCAAGGUUACCCGCUGAACUUAAGCAUAUCAAUAAGCGGAGGAAA
rnacentral:rRNA from 1 species